rnacentral:rRNA from 1 species
AGAGGGUGGCAAGCGUUGUUCGGAAUUAUUGGGCGUAAAGAGCACGUAGGUGGAUUUGUUAGUCAGAUGUGAAAGCCUUUUGUUAACGGAAGAAUUGCAUCUGAAACUACAAACCCUUGAGUAUAGGAGGGGAGAGUGGAACUUCUGGUGGAGCGGUGAAAUGCGUAGAUAUCAGAAGGAACGCCGGCGGCGAAAGCGACUCUCUGGCCUAUAACUGACACUGAGUGUGCGAAAGCUAGGGGAGCAAACGGGAUUAGAUACCCCGGUAGUCCUAGCCGUAAACGAUGGGCACUAAGUAGGGGGAACUACCGAUGUUCUCUCUGCCGUAGCAAACGCACUAAGUGCCCCGCCUGGGGAGUACGGCCGCAAGGCUA